UACGUAGGGGGCAAGCGUUAUCCGGAAUCACUGGGCGUAAAGGGUGCGUAGGCGGUCUGGCAAGCCAGAAGUGAAAGGCAAUGGCUCAACCAUUGUAAGCUUUUGGAACUGCUAGACUUGAGUGCAGGAGAGGUAAGUGGAAUUCCUAGUGUAGAGGUGAAAUUCGUAGAUAUUAGGAGGAACACCAGUGGCGAAGGCGACUUACUGGACUGUAACUGACGCUGAGGCACGAAAGCGUGGGGAGCGAACAGG
rnacentral:rRNA from 1 species